AUUGAACGCUGGCGGCAGGCCUAACACAUGCAAGUCGAACGGUAACAGGAAGCAGCUUGCUGCUUUGCUGACGAGUGGCGGACGGGUGAGUAAUGUCUGGGAAACUGCCCGAUGGAGGGGGAUAACUACUGGAAACGGUAGCUAAUACCGCAUAACGUCGCAAGACCAAAGAGGGGGACCUUAGGGCCUCUUGCCAUCGGAUGUGCCCAGAUGGGAUUAGCUAGUAGGUGGGGUAACGGCUCACCUAGGCGACGAUCCCUAGCUGGUCUGAGAGGAUGACCAGCCACACGGGAAGGGAGACACGGCCAAGACUCCGAGGGGAGGGAGCAGGGGGGAAUAUUGCAAAGAGGGCGAAAGCCGGAGGCAGCCAUGCGGGGUGGAGGAAGAAGGCCUUCGGUUGGUAAAGUCUUUGCAGGGGGGAGGAAGGGAUAAAAGUUAAUACCUUUCCUAUUUGACGUUCCCGAAAGAAGAAGCCCCGGCUAACUCCGUG
rnacentral:rRNA from 1 species